rnacentral:rRNA from 1 species
CAGUCGCCGCGGGAAAACGAAGGGGGCUAGCGUUGUUCGGAAUUACUGGGCGUAAAGCGCACGUAGGCGGAUUGUUAAGUUAGGGGUGAAAUCCCAGGGCUCAACCCUGGAACUGCCUUUAAUACUGGCAAUCUCGAGUCCGAGAGAGGUGAGUGGAAUUCCGAGUGUAGAGGUGAAAUUCGUAGAUAUUCGGAGGAACACCAGUGGCGAAGGCGGCUCACUGGCUCGGUACUGACGCUGAGGUGCGAAAGCGUGGGGAGCAAACAGGAUUAGAUACCCCGGUAGUCCCUGUCUCUUAUAC